AAGCCUUGGCACUAGCGGCGCCCGGGCGCGGAGUGCGCAGGGCAAGGUCCUGCGCUCUGGGCCAGCGCUCGGCCAUGCGAUCCGCCGCGCGGAGGGGACGCGCCGCGCCCGCCGCCAGGGAGCUGAGGCACGCUCGGCACAUGAGUUCCUGUUUCAUUACUGUGGGCAGCAUCUUCACGCAGCACGCUGGCACCAGAAGGACAAAAGGUAGUAGAUCGACGCUGAACAGUUUCAACACAGGGGAAAGGGGAAGAAUUAAGGAACCUCUAUGAUUCUGAUUUCUGAAAGCAGCCACAGUGAGCGCUCUGCAAUGAGUCCCUUUGCCUGGGGCAUGCAAUGCAGAGACACAAACGGACACACAUGGGCGCACGCGCGCACACACACAUGCUCUGACUUUGCAAGCUGAAGGCUGUGAUUGUGUGGACUGCCUCGUGUCCCUCCUCCUUUUCACUGAAUAGGGAGGUUCAUGCUGAUACCACAGGGCCGACACCUGCGUUCUGCGUUCACACCUGCGUGGAUUUCUGCCACCCUGACUCCCUUCUUGUCUGCAUCCAGGUGGAAGCGUCUGGAAGGUUCAUUACACGACCCCGCAGUUCCACCCCGAGGGAGCGGGGGCCUGCUACGGCCGAGGCGUCUGCCCAUGCUCCGGGGAGGGCGUGACCCAUCACAGACCCCCUUUGCUCUUUGACCUCUCCAGGGACCCCUCCGAGGCACGGCCCCUGACCCCCGACUCCGAGCCCCUGUACCACGCCGUGAUAGCAAGGGUAGGUGCCGCGGUGUCGGAGCAUCGGCAGACCCUGAGUCCUGUGCCCCAGCAGUUUUCCAUGAGCAACAUCCUGUGGAAGCCGUGGCUGCAGCCGUGCUGCGGACAUUUCCCGUUCUGUUCAUGCCACGAGGAUGGGGAUGGCACCCCCUGAAUGCCAGGACUGUGAGAGAGGAUCCAGGAGAGCCUGACUGCGUUGCAAACAAAAUUCUCCAAGCUUGGUUCUAUCUUCAGCUUCCCUUUUUGCAAGGAACAUGCCCUGGACUGAGAGUGGGUCCCCACUUUCUUUCUUUCUUUCUUUCUUUUUUGAGACAGAGUGUCGCUCUGUCCCUCAGGCUGGAAUGCAAUGGCACGAUCUCUGCUCACUGCAACCUCCGCCUCCCGGGUUCAAGCGAUUUUCCUGCCUCAGCCUCCUGAGUACCCAGGAUUACAGGCACCAGGCACCUGCCACCAUGCCUAGCUAAUUUUUGUAGUUUUAGUAGAGACAGGGUUUCACCAUGUUGCCCAGGCUGGUCUCGCACUCCUGACCUCAAGUCAUCCACCUGCCUCAGCCUCCCAAAGUGCUGGGAUUACAGGCACGAGCCACUGCGCCCAUGUAGGGUUUCCCUUUCCUGAUUUGUGAAAUAAGACUGUCCCAGUAGGCACCCACUGAUGCCUCCUCUUCCUCUUCUAAAUCUCAGGGUUCGUCAUUGUGCCAAUGCCCGAUGUUUUCACCCCUCCGUCUUAAAGCAUUGUUGCAAUUUCAUCACCUAGAUGACAUAACAGCCUUACAAAAGGACAGGGAGGAGUGUCUGUUCCUACUCUCACAUAGCGGAGGAAAGUUAGAGCCUCUCAGUCUCUGUUUAUGAGGACUCAUUAAUCUCAAAUAAUUGAUGCAUUUUUCAUACAUUAGGGUCUCUGUCCAUGUGUCUUCCUGAUAUUGUUAUAGAAAUGGCUUCAGGCUGCUGGUAACAGAUGCUGCGGAAAAAGAAUGCCUUAAACAAAGCCAGGCACGGUGACUCACACCUGUAAUCCCAGCACUUUGGGAGGCUAAGGUGGGAGGAUCACUUGAGCCUAGGAGUUAGACACCUACCCAGCCUGAGCAACACAGUGAGACCUCAUCUCUACAAAAAACAAAUAAUUAGCUAGAUGUCGUGGCGCACAGCUGUAGUCUCAGCUACUUAGGAGGCUGAGGCGGGAGGAUUAUUUGAGCCUGGGAGGUCAAAACUGCAAUGAGCUAAGAUUGCACUACUGCACUCCGGGCUGGGAGACAGAGUAAGACCCUGCCUU
rnacentral:lncRNA from 1 species